GUCUCCGAUGAUGUAUUUUUUACCUUCAUUCUUUUGAAGUUUCAAUGUAGCUAGAAUAAUGUUUUGGACCCCGAACUGAGGGGUU
rnacentral:snoRNA from 1 species